rfam:Brachypodium distachyon strain Bd21 chromosome 1, whole genome shotgun sequence.
UAUAUAGUUCCUCCGUCCAACAAAGUAUGUCUCAAUUUUGACUAAAUUUGAAUGCAUCUAUACACUAAGUCACGUCUAGAUACAUCCAAAUUUUGACAAACUUGAGCAUCUUUUGUUGGACGGAGGGGUACUUA